rnacentral:rRNA from 1 species
AGUGAACGCUGGUGGUAGGCCUAACACAUGCAAGUCGAACGGCAGCACAGUAAGAGCUUGCUCUUACGGGUGGCGAGUGGCGGACGGGUGAGGAAUACAUCGGAAUCUACUUUUUCGUGGGGGAUAACGUAGGGAAACUUACGCUAAUACUGCAUACGACCUACGGGUGAAAGCAGGGGAUCUUCGGACCUUGCGCGAUUGAAUGAGCCGAUGUCGGAUUAGCUAGUUGGCGGGGUAAAGGCCCACCAAGGCGACGAUCCGUAGCUGGUCUGAGGGGAUGAUCAGCCACACUGGAACUGAGACACGGUCCAGACUCCUACGGGAGGCAGCAGUGGGGAAUAUUGGACAAUGGGCGCAAGCCUGAUCCAGCCAUACCGCGUGGGUGAAGAAGGCCUUCGGGUUGUAAAGCCCUUUUGUUGGGAAAGAAAAGCAGCAGGUUAAUACCCCGCUGUUCUGACGGUACCCAAAGAAUAAGCACCGGCUAACUUCGUG